rnacentral:rRNA from 1 species
UACGUAGGGUGCAAGCGUUAAUUGGAAUUACUGGGCGUAAAGCGUGCGCAGGCGGUCUUGCAAGACAGGUGUGAAAUCCCCGGGCUUAACCUGGGAACUGCAUUUGUGACUGCAAGGCUGGAGUACGGCAGAGGGGGAUGGAAUUCCGCGUGUAGCAGUGAAAUGCGUAGAUAUGCGGAGGAACACCGAUGGCGAAGGCAAUCCCCUGGGCCUGUACUGACGCUCAUGCACGAAAGCGUGGGGAGCAAACAGG